rnacentral:rRNA from 1 species
AGAACGAACGUUAGCGGCGCGCCUAACACAUGCAAGUCGAGCGGAAAGGCCCUUCGGGGUACUCGAGCGGCGAACGGGUGAGUAACACGUGAGUAAUCUGCCCCUAGCUCUGGGAUAGCUCCGGGAAACCGGGAUUAAUACCAGAUACGACCACUUUAGACAUCUUCUGUGGUGGAAAGAACUUCGGCUAGGGAUGAACUCGCGGCCUAUCAGCUUGUUGGUGAGGUAACGGCUCACCAAGGCGACGACGGGUAGCCGGCCUGAGAGGGCGACCGGCCACACUGGGACUGAGACACGGCCCAGACUCCUACGGGAGGCAGCAGUGGGGAAUAUUGCGCAAUGGGCGAAAGCCUGACGCAGCGACGCCGCGUGGGGGAUGAAGGCCUUCGGGUUGUAACCCUUUCAGCAGGGACGAAGCGAAAGUGACGGUACCUGCAGAAGAAGCGCCGGCUAACUACGUGCCAGCAGCCGC